GAUGAACGCUGGCGGCGUGCCUAACACAUGCAAGUUGAGCGAUUUACUUCGGUAAAGAGCGGCGGACGGGUGAGUAACGCGUGGGUAACCUGCCCUGUACACACGGAUAACAUACCGAAAGGUAUGCUAAUACGAGAUAAUAUGCUUUUAUCACAUGGUAGAAGCAUCAAAGCUUUUGCGGUACAGGAUGGACCCGCGUCUGAUUAGCUAGUUGGUAAGGUAACGGCUUACCAAGGCGACGAUCAGUAGCCGACCUGAGAGGGUGAUCGGCCACAUUGGAACUGAGACACGGUCCAAACUCCUACGGAGGCAGCAGUGGGGAAUAUUGCACAAUGGGCGAAAGCCUGAUGCAGCAACGCCGCGUGAGCGAUGAAGGCCUUCGGGUCGUAAAGGCUCUGUCCUCAAGGAGAUAAUGACGGUACUUGAGGAGGAAGCCCCGGCUAACUACGU
rnacentral:rRNA from 1 species